UCUGAAAGUAGUCUUCACCUGGCUGGCACAGUCACACUGUUUGUGGCAACUUGGUAAGUCUCUGAAGAGAUGAGAAACAUCUAUUUGGUACAGCAAAACCUUGAGAUUUUUGAGAAUGGCUGUAUUCUGUAUGCAGAGCCUGAAGAGUGGAGAGAGAGUGGAAGGGGGUGUGUGCGUGUGUGUGGUGUUCGGGGAGGACUUUCUGCAUGAGGGGAAAACUAUAGCUACUGGCUGUAGGCAUGUAUCUAAAGUACGUCCUGGGAUCACCUUUUUUCGUGAUUUGUACUUUACUGUAUCUGAGAUUUUACACAAAGUCGAACUUUGCAACCUAAAUCUGCCUCUACGGAGAGUCGUUCUUUGCUUACUGUGUCUCAAAAACUUUAGUUGAGAUAAAGGGCACUGUCACGUUGAGCCAUUUGAAAGACAUAAGUUUAUUUGACUGCAAUGUCCUUUUACUGUAUUACUAUCUUUGCAUAUACAGAGAAAUUUCUAAAAUCUGUUUCAGAUCAGCUCUUUGGGUUUCUUGUUCCCUUCUUCCCAUCCACAGCCCUUCAUAUAGCAAUUCAGUAAUAAAUGCUCUCCUAAUAAAAUCUCUCAAAAUACAGCUUAUGUAAGUUUAUUAGCUGAAUGUGUAUGAUAUGAAUGAAAAUGUAUUUUAGUAAAUGCAUUACAGACACACAGCUUUUUCCCCGUUUUUCCCUUCCCUAUCCCCUCACAUUUAUCCGCCUGUUGGUGUGCUAUACUCCUGUGACCUUUUGGCAGCAAGUGGGGUCACUGUGUGGCUGCAGCUGGGGCUUUAAAGAGCUCCUUUUGUAUCUUCACUGCAAACUUUCAAACGGACCUCCUGCUGAUUGUAGCCAUUUUGUCUAUUUUUAAUUGUUCCUGCAUAUUUGGAAUUUUUAAUUGUUUCUGGAUGUUUUAAGAUACUUUAAAAAAAAAAGAAAAUAAAGGCCAUUGCCAUUUUAAAAGAGCACACAUGCAAGCUGUGAACAUCCAUUCAUGUGAGAAAGCAGAGAUGGGGGGUUUCUUGCAGACAGGUGUUCUUACAGAGCACAUCCUUUCCAGAAUGUUACAGUCCUACUGAACUUAUUGACUUGAGCUGCAGCUGCAGAGCAAUGCUGCUGAAAGUUUGGUCCACAACAGGCUUUUAAGGGGGCAUUUAAAUCUGUCAGAAGAGGUACAAGCACAGGGCUUGCAACUGGACACCCAAAACCCACCUUCAAGUUAAGUUUUGUGGUUGAGUGCAGCAUUCCUUAACACGUACAUCUCCAAAAGGACUUGCAGCCCUACAUUUUAGAUACUUGUAAAUGAACUCCUGGUUAUAAAACCGGUGCAUUUACAUGGACCACCUAGUAACACACACCAUCAGAAACGGUGUACGCUCACACACUGCUAGCAUUUAGUCUCAUCUCUUUGUGUCUUCAUCAGUUCUAGUUUUCACAACUCCUCUGACAGAAAGCACAGUUCUGUUCAGCUGUUGCACACAAAAAGUGGUUAUUUUUGGAAAAAAAUGGGUUUGCUAGGCAAGGGUUAACCUGUGGCCAGGGGAGGUGAAGGUUACAACAGUCAGAAUAAUGAGCAAUGGCAUUGCAGCACACAUUAUUGUGCUCACAUAUUAUUCAAUAUUUAAAGAUCUGGUUAUUACAACAUACAAUUCAGUUCCUUUGUGUUGCCUCAGUGGGUUUGCCUCUCUGAGGAUCAACAACAAAGAGGCUGACUCCAGGCUUUUGCCUCUAAGUACAAUAAUGUAAGUUGUUUUCUACAGCAAUCUUCCAAGCUUCAGUGCUGUGAGUAGGAGAAGAUGUAGCAUGGAGUGUAUCCAAAAUAGGCUGUUCGGCAUGUGUGCUUAAAACUAUAAAGAAAGUGAUGCUAUCUAAUUACAAACAUCAUUGAUUCUUGCAUGUGUUGCUUAAGAUGUCUCAAUGCAGUCCUUCUUCCAAAAUCUCCAUAGUUUGCAUAGUAAACAUCUGUUUAUGUCAAGCACUGGUGGCCACUCUUGCCUAUUUCAACUUUCCCUGUCUUCACAACUUUGGGAUAAGGUUAGGUGCAGAGUCCACCAAAGAGUGUAGCUUCAGCUAAUACUAAGGAAGCACAUGGGACUGCAGGUAGUUAGUCAGAUGUAAGGAGACAAUCCACAGUCUGGUCUGGAGUCAGCACAACAACUUUAGUCUCCUUGUAGAACAACAGGUGGAAAUGGACCAGAGAUUGAGGAAUCAGGCAUGUUUUUUUCCCAGUUCUCUUUAGGCUAAGCUGGUGGACUUCUAAUACCUGCACUGUCUUCUGAUCAGACUAGUACUCCUUGUAAGCGGCCUCUUUCUUUUCCUCGUAACAAUGAACAAUGACAUGCCUAGUAAGUAACUUGCAUAUGGAGAUGAGAAUUUGUAAGUCCACUGUCCUUGCUGCUGAAACAGAUCAAGGACUUUUAAGAGAACUGCAAUUCCCUUUCUUCAAAAAUGUCAACCAGACUCAUAAUGAAACUUUUCCGGAGAAAAAUGAAAGAGGGAGGACUAAAGGGCUAAGGACAUGUUUACAGUAUAUAGAUGUUCUCAACGUACUAACCAUGGACACGGUUUUACAGAAUCAGACUUUCUACUUAAAGCUAGUCCACAGGCUUCUGCCCAAAAAUUUUUAUUAGACUGGGAAGGUCUUCAACAGGAAAGUUUUUAAAAAACUACAGCUUGCCCACAAAAUAUUUCCAUUUCUGAGGCCUAAUAUUUUUCCAUAUGAAACAAUCUUCCUUGGUUUGUUCUGUUUUGUUGUACUUUCCAGGAGCAAUCUUUGUUAGCCCUUAACCAUCAGAAGGAACUAAAAACAUUCCAGUUCUAACAUCAGCAGCUGAAAUGCUCUUGUCAGGCAGUUUAGAAAUACUGAAGGGGGAGAUUAAACAUGAAAUAAAUGAAAGGGGCAGGAGUAGAGACAGGUGAAGGAGGGGGAAAUAGCUGCCCAGCCUUUCUGUUUGGUAGGAAACAGAAGACCACUGAGUGCGCGCUUUCUCUUGCUGCAGCACCUUUUUUUCUUGGCUUGUCAUGUUUUCUCACUGCUUAACCUUGCUCAAACUGCCUUACUGUGAGUUAGAGAAAUUUCGCCUCCAUCUCCACUGCUCUUCAGGGCAAUCUGUUGAUUCUUUUUCAGGUUUUUUUUUAGUCAUGCCCCCUUAAGCCACCAGUGAAAUAAGAGAUAUCCCCAGACAGGAAAUAGGGAAAGGAACACAGGUGGCUUUGGUUGUGGCAUCUCUGUUGGCUCUUCAGAAGAUGGAGGUAAGACGAGGCAACAUGAAUAAGUAAAAUACAUGUGAGACCCUCUUCUUGUGCCUUUAAAAAAAUUCCUUCCAAUGUACCUGAUCGAAGAUUUAUGAUUUUUUGAAAGGUAUUUAUCAGUAUGGUUGUGUAGGGUUAGAGUGAACAAGGCCUACAAGAAAGAUGAAGAGAGACUAUUUACAAGCACACCUAGUUACAGGACAAAGGGGAAUGGCUGCAGAAUGAAGGAUAGUAGGUUUAGAUUAGACAUUAGGAAGAAAUUCCUGACUGUGAGGGUAGUGAAGCCUUGGAACAUGUUGCCCAGAGAAGUUGUGGAUGCCCCAUUCCUGGGGGCACAAGUUGGAUGGAGUGAAAGGUGUCCCUGCCCAUGGUGAGAGGGUUGGAACUAGAUCAUUUUGAAUAAAGGUCCCCUGCAACCCAGGACAUUAUAUGAUUAUAUGAUUCCCUGAUCAUAUCUGUAUUUUGAAAGAAAAUGUUAGGGGAGAAAGUUCAGUCCAGGUUUCUGGAGCAUCUUGGUUUACAGAAAAUAUAUUCGCAAGGUGGGAACCCCAAUAAGAUGAAAUUCUUCCCCUUUUAUUUCCCUCUCCCAAUAUAAAAUAGAGACAAAAAAUGAAGAGUAUAAGUGAAAAAAUAACUAUUUAAUAAAAGAAAAUACCAAUAACUGCAAAAACACGGGGGGAAAUGGUUUACUCACGAGAGCAAAGAUCCACCAAAAACACGUGGUGCCCCCUAUCUUCCCGGAACAAAAAGGGAAAACAAAGACAGUGGAGCCUCUUUCCCGCCGAACCACACCGCCCCUCCCCCCCAUCCACUCAACCAAACAAAAGAAAACAAAGGGAGAACAGGGGCAAAAGUGAAAACCCAGGAAAAAACUGCUGCCCACAAGGACCCACCCUAGCAAACCGGCCCCUCCACACCACCUGGUUAGGUUCAGGUCUUAACUGAUGUGGUGAUACCAGUUCGGAGACUUUUUGUUCCCUGCCACGUGUUGUCCCACUUGGCUUGGCUGGGCUACCUUGGGAGGUAGUGAUUUUGUUUCACUUUCGCUGUCUCUGAUGUGGUGGUCCCGGCCCUGGCAGGGGUCCCGGCCCGGGCAGCAGUUCCAUUCGGCGAGCGGCGUGCCGGGGGCCGCGGCCAUCGGGCGGGGGCGAGCAGCGAGCCGGGCGGCAGCGAAGAGGCGGGGCGGGGGCCAGGACCCCGGCAGAGAGAGCGUGCCGAACCGACUUCAGAGCAUUCACACUGCUGCCACGACCGACGCAAUAAGGGCUGUUUCCUGUUCCUGCUCCUGCUUUAUUUUCUGUCCUCGACGCCGGGAGGAACCGCCUUUCGGCAGCUCCUGGACACUGGAAAAACUCCGACCUGUGCAAACCCUCUCUCCCCUCCCCGUCAGCUCCCUCUUUUGGGGGGGAGGUGCGGCCCCUGGCCCCCUUCAGAUGACAUAAUGGUAUGAAUAUUCAUCGUUAAAGUUUUCUCCCCAUUUUGUAACUAUAACAUGGAGCCAAACAGAUCAGGAUAUAGUUUACAAAUCCCAGGAAAGUUGUUAUCCGAAUGAGUGACUACAAGGAUUGCUCAUGGCCAAUAUUUCUACUUGCACUAUGUAAGAACAAGGCUUAUGUUCUCCUCAUGCAUCUCAGCAACACUUUCUUCAUGCAAGAGCAACUGCUGCCAUUCUGCCUGAGCAGUGAGAUGUGUCAAUAAUAGCCACCAUAAGCAGAAGAUAAUCCAUCAGCUACUACUGUGAACUUGAGUAUAUCCCAAGCUGCACUGGUCAGCAUGGGCUUGCAAACAGAGGAGCCAAUGUGCAAAUCAGUUGAGUCAUGCUACAUCUCUGCUGGUGAACCUUGUGAAGAAACUGCAGACAAAUUUAGGAAUAUCCUUUCAGUCUUCCAUGAACUCGUCUUGUCAGGGCAUGUGCUGCUGCAGGAAUCAUGAGGUAAGAGGCUGGACUCACCACCAAGACUGUCCGUUCUGCUGAAUUCAGCCACGUAACAUACUCUGAAUGUGAUAUCAAGAGCUGUUUUGUUUUCUUUGUAAUGUAUGUUGUAUGGCCACAUGGCCUGCAAGUCCAGACUGAAAAAAGAUCUUUAAAUAUAUGAAACAAACCACUUGCAAGCAGGCUGCAAUUUAAAGCUCUGUAUAAAUAAGCGUAACUUAUUGAAACAACUUCACAUACCCAUUACAAUGGGAAAACUGUUGUCUUAUAGAUAGAAGUUCAAAACAGGAAGAGAUUGAAUGAAUAUUGUUACGGGUUAGUCACUUUGUCUUAUUGCAGACACCUUUAGUAACUAGAAAUAGAAGAGGCUUUGACAUGUCACACACAGAGGCAGUAUCUUGAAAUAACUCUCAAAAUAAUACUUUAGCUUUGAUCCUGCCAGUAUGAAACAACUCCAACUCAUUUCCUAAAAUAUUGGACACUGCAUGACCUUGUUUAUGUAAGCCACAAAACAUAACUCUAAUAAGUACCGUGGGCAACAAAAGUAAUUUCAUCACGAUUUACAGAUUUACAGACAUUCGUCAUGGCUUUUAUUGGAGAAAAUUAGGAUGACUUAUGGAGAUAAUUCCACAUGCCCUGUGUGUCAGCUGCAUGUAUUAGUGUAUUAGCAAACUUUUUGAAGGCUUACCUAAUGAUAGAAAGACCACCUGAAGUGCAGUGCAAGCAAACACUUUCCUGCCCUCUCCUGCUGAGUCAGUGCACAGCAUUUGUUUGCAUAUUUGGAGUGUGUCAUGGUUUAACAGCAACUAAGCAUCAUAAAGCCACUUGCUUAGUCCUCCCUAGUGGAAUGGGUAAAGUGAAAGAACUCCUGAGUUAAGAACAGUUUAAUAGGUAGAGCGGAGUCUACCCAUAAAGCAAAGCAAAACAAGGAAUUCAGUCAUCACUUCCCGUGGACAGGCAGGUGUUCAGCCAUCCCCAGAAAGCAGUGCACCAUCAUGUGUAACUGUGACUUGGAAGACAAAUACCCUCAUUUCAAAUGCCCCCUUUACUCCUUUUCCCCCUCUCUUUAUAUACUGAGCACAGCAUCAUACGGUCUGGGAUAUCCUUUGGGCCAGUUGGGGUCAGCUGUUCUGGCUGUGUCACCUCCCAACUCCUUGUGCACCCUCUGCCCAUUCUCUGGUGGGGUGGUAUGAGUAGCAGUAAAGGCCCUCACACUGCUCAGCAGUAAUAAGAACAUCCCUGAGUUAUCAACACACUUUUCAACAUGAGUCUAAAACAUUAACGCUAUCCCAGCUAAAACCGGCACAGGAGAAGAACCUGACCUAAACACGAAGCACUAAUCUUAAGAGUUUUAUGUUCUCACUGCAAAUGGGGCUGUGGUGAGAAGUCUCUGCAGUGGCUGAAUCUUAAACAUUCUUACUUGGCAGCAUCUUUGGGAGAGAUUGUCACAAAUAUUGUCCAAGAUGCCACUUUUUUUAAAAGUGUAUUUGGGUAGAUAGAGGAGGCCCUUGAAUUCUGGAGAAGAAUUAUGGCUUUGAAGAUGCUUCUUGAGAUGUAGGAGAUAUAAUGAGAAAUUUUUAACAUGCAGCAUGCCCCGAAGUGCCUACUGGUCUGGGCAACAAAUCCUGUUUUAAAAUAAUUCUUCUCCUGACUCAGGUCUGAGAAGCUCUAUCAACAGUAGCAACGUUGGGAGCUCAUUAGUGCUAUCUAUUAUUAGUAUUUCAAUAUUUGACAAAUAAAAGGGUUCAACAAGAAA